rnacentral:rRNA from 1 species
UACGGAGGUUUCGAGCGUUAUCCGGAUUUAUUGGGUUUAAAGGGUGCGUAGGCGGACUUGUAAGUCAGCUGUGAAAGUUUACGGCUCAACCGUGAAAUUGCAGUUGAUACUGUUGGUCUUGAGUAUACAUGAGGUAGGCGGAAUUUGUGGUGUAGCGGUAAAAUGCUUAGAUAUCUCAAAGAACUCCAGUUGCGAAGGCAGCUCACUGG